CGCUGGCGGCACGCCUAACACAUGCAAGUCGAACGAAGUAGCAAUACUUAGUGGCAGACGGGUGAGUAACAUGUAGGUAUCUACCCUUUGGCCUGGAAUAACACGAGGAAACUUGUGCUAAUACCGGAUAAGUCUUUACGGAGAAAGCUUUAUGCACCAUUGGAUGAGCCUGCACUUGAUUAGUUUGUUGGUGGGGUAAUGGCCUACCAAGACUGUGAUCAAUAGCUGAUUUGAGAGGAUGAUCAGCCACAUUGGGACUGAGACACGGCCCAAACUCCUACGGGAGGCAGCAGUGGGGAAUCUUGCACAAUGGAGGAAACUCUGAUGCAGCGAUGCCGCGUGAGUGAAGAAGGCCCUUGGGUUGUAAAGCUCUUUCGUCGGGGAAGAAAAUGACUGUACCCGAAUAAGAAGGUCCGGCUAACUUCGUGCCAGCAGCCGCGGUAAUACGAAGGGACCUAGCGUAGUUCGGAAUUACUGGGCUUAAAGAGUUCGUAGGUGGUUGAAAAAGUUAGUGGUGAAAUCCCAGAGCUUAACUCUGGAACUGCCAUUAAAACUUUUCAGCUAGAGUAUGAUAGAGGAAAGCAGAAUUUCUAGUGUAGAGGUGAAAUUCGUAGAUAUUAGAAAGAAUACCAAUUGCGAAGGCAGCUUUCUGGAUCAUUACUGACACUGAGGAACGAAAGCAUGGGUAGCGAAGAGGAUUAGAUACCCUCGUAGUCCAUGCCGUAAACGAUGUGUGUUAGACGUUGGAAAUUUAUUUUCAGUGUCGCAGCGAAAGCGAUAAACACACCGCCUGGGGAGUACGAC
rnacentral:rRNA from 1 species